rnacentral:rRNA from 1 species
CCUACGGGAGGCUGCAGUGAGGAAUAUUGGUCAAUGGGCGCGAGCCUGAACCAGCCAAGUAGCGUGAGGGAGGACGGCCCUACGGGUUGUAAACCUCUUUUGCAGGGGAGCAACGGGCGCCACGUGUGGCGUCACUGAGAGUACCCGGAGAAAAAGCAUCGUCAAACUCCGUGCCAGCAGCCGCGGUAAUAGGGAGGUUGCGAGCGUUAUCCGGAUUUAUUGGGUUAAAAGGGCGCGUAGGCGGACCGUUAAGUCAGUGGUCAAAUUGAGGGGCUCAACCCCUUCCCGCCAUUGAAACUGGCGUUCUUGAGUGGAAGAGAGGUAUGCGGAAUGCGUGGUGUAGCGGUGAAAUGCAUAGAUAUCACGCAGAACCCCGAUUGCGAAGGCAGCAUGCCGGCUUCCGACUGACGCUGAAGCACGAAAGCGUGGGGAUCGAACAGGAUUAGAUACCCCUGUAGUC